rnacentral:lncRNA from 1 species
CUCAUAUCACUGAUGUUAGACUCUUUUACAUUCACAUCCUCACAAACACGUGCCUUCACUUAUGACGAAUUUUUGAACCUAACACGUGGGCAACAAGAAUGACUCACAUGUGGUCGUUGGGCUUCACACGUGAGAUAAUCUGGUUGUGAUACCAUGAAAAAAUAAAAGUUCUACCAUAAAACCAAUUGGUAACUGCUUAUAAACACAUUCAAAGUCCUUUUUCUGAUAUAGGGGAUCCAAACUCCACCGUGCAAUUUAAUUGAUUUUAGGCAUAUUAAUAUUGGACUUUUUAAUCAAAAUAGUCCCUGCGAUUUGCAUAACUUCUCACUUUAGUCCCUGAGAUUUGAAAUUAAUAAAAGUAGUCCCUGAGUUUAUCAACCAUCAAUCAUUUUGGUCAUUUCAUGAAAAAUCUCCAUUAAAUAAGGCUAAAAUGAUAAAAAUACCAUCAAUAUUUGUCAAUUCAUUUUGCCCAUUGUUUAUUAAAUUGAUGGUGGUCCUUAUUUAAUAUAAAUUUUCCUUGAAUGACGAAAAUAAUUGAUAGUGGACAAACUCAAUGACCACUUCUAUUGAUUUCAAAUCUUAAAGACCAAAGUAAUGUGUUAUGCAAAUCUCAAUGAUCAUUUUGGCUAAAAAGCCUUAAUAUUUUGAUAUAAAGUCAUUGCUUUACCAUACCAUGGUUUGUAGUAAACUUAUAAGUGAUGAAUAAUGAUGGAAGCUUGCACUAACAUGCACAUAGUACUCUUUUAAUCAUCACUUUAUGCACACUAAAUAAUAUAUUUAUGUAUUUGUGUAUGUAUCAUUGUAUGCUUAAUAACCUACUUCAAUGAUCGACUCCGAUUCUAACUUUUCUUUUCCUUCCCAAUAUAUAUUCUCCUUUAUUUAUUUCAGCUAUAUUUAAUUUGUCUGGUAGAAGCUGAAGUGUCCAUCUCACUUUUUCUUUAAUUGCAGAUUUUGAUCACUUCUCCUGUAAACCAUCUGAGGUUAUUGAAGAAAAGAAUUAUACAGAAGCAAGAAUGAAGAAAGA